UACGAAGGGUGCGAGCGUUAUUCGGAGUUAUUGGGCGUAAAGGGUGCGCAGGCGGUGUAUUAAGUCAACUGUUAAAUUUCCCAGCUUAACUGGGAGCAAGCAGUAGAUACUGGUACGCUUGAGGGUGGAAGAGAGAAGUGGAAUUCUCGGAGUAGCGGUAAAAUGCGUAGAUCUCGAGAGGAACACCGAUGGCGAAGGCAGCUUCUUGGUCCACAUCUGACGCUCAUGCACGAAAGCGUGGGGAGCAAACAGG
rnacentral:rRNA from 1 species